rnacentral:rRNA from 1 species
AACGAACGCUGGCGGCAGGCUUAACACAUGCAAGUCGAACGGUGUAGCAAUACACAGUGGCGCACGGGUGAGUAACGCGUGGAAACGUGCCCUUCAGUACGGAAUAACGUCGGGAAACUGACGCUAAUACCGUAUAUUCCCUCCGGGGGAAAGAUUUAUCGCUGAAGGAUCGGCCCGCGUUAGAUUAGGUAGUUGGUGGGGUAAUGGCCUACCAAGCCUACGAUCUAUAGCUGGUCUGAGAGGAUGAUCAGCCACACUGGAACUGAGACACGGUCCAGACUCCUACGGGAGGCAGCAGUGGGGAAUAUUGGACAAUGGGGGAAACCCUGAUCCAGCCAUGCCGCGUGAGUGAUGAAGGCCUUAGGGUUGUAAAGCUCUUUUGUCAGGGAAGAUGAUGACGGUACCUGAAGAAUAAGCACCGGCUAACUUCGUGCCAGCCGCCGCCGUAA